GUCCUCUAGAUGUUCUUCACACCGACCUGCUGUAACCCCAGCCAGCGAUGUGGUCUACAGCUCAGUCGCCCUGAAGCACAGAGAGUAGGGGGCAGCAACACAGAGAGGCUCCUCUACAUGUGGGGAGCUGCUGCUCAGGGUGAGAGCUGUGAGGGACACACAGAUACUGCAGUGAUGGGGAGGGAUAAUCACCAGAGUGGAGCAUCUUACAGUGAUGUCAGCUGUAUUUAAAUGACAUGCAGCACUGUCACAUUACAGUGUGACAGUAAGAAUCAGCUGGUAUGAAACACACAUUCAUGGCUGUUGUUCAUUUGAACCAUGAUCAAAGUGCUACAGUAUUUGUCUCACUUAUGUCACUUUGGAUAAAAGCAUCUGAUAAAUAUGAUAAAUGUAAAUGUGAGGUAUUAUCUUGAUGGUCUGAACUGUCACUUUCUCAUUUAUAUUAAUGGAAAAAAAUAUAUAUUAGCAAUUCUAGUUGAUUUGUAUUUAUGAUAUAUACUGUAAGUGUUUGUUAGUAUGAUAUACAGUAUUUUGAGAGUA